AGAGACAUUCGAAACAGAGCAGGAAGAAAAGGGGAAAGAAAAGAAAAAGGAAAAACUAAGAGUUUAAGGUUUAAAGCUUUGAUUGGUAAGUCAUUUAAGUCCUUUCUAUUUAAUUUUGAGGUUUUAGAAGUCUUAAAACAAGGUUUUGAUGAAAUUAAUUUGAUAGUUUGAAAGUUUAAAAGCUUUUAAACAAAGUUCAUGUUGAAGAAAAAGAAGAAUUAGGGAUUUAAUUGAAUGAAUUUUAAGUUAGAAAUUGAAAAAGGGAUUAAAUUGUAAAAGAAGCUAUAAAUUUUGUGUUUUAGGAAAUUAAAUUGAAAGAAAUUUUAAAUUAGGGUUUUAUAAUGAACAUUAGAUUGUUAGGGUGAACAUGGAAGGAAAUUGAGUAGAAAUGAAGUAUAAAUUAAGUUAAACAAAUAAAAGAGUUAAUUAGGAUUAAAUGAGAAUUAGGGAAUAAAUUGAAUAAAAAUUCAAUUAAUUAUUAAAUUAAUGCUGUAAUUAAUAAUGUAAAUUGUUAUUAUUAUUAUUUUUCGUAGCUAACAAGGAAAACGAGGCAUUGGCAUCCAAAGGAAAAGAAAAGAUCGUUGAGGAGUAAACUCGUGUUUCGGGUUUGUAUUACUAUAACUCAAACUAUUUAUUAAAUGUAUAUUGAAUUUAUAGUUAUGGAAUAAUUAAGAUAAGGUAAGUAUUAUAUUUAAAUUUAAAUAUAAGUAUGUGUGAAAAUUAAAUUGUAUAUGAAUUAAGAUAAUAAAUAUUUGAAUUGAUUGAGUAUUGAAAAUUUUUGUGUAAAUGAAAUUGAAAUUAGAAAAGUAAAAUAAUACCCUAUUAACUUGUCGGACUAGAUUUGAUACAAAUGGCAUGCCAUUGGAUUUGUGAUGUGAUGAGGAGAUUGUAGUUUGGCUGAGAAGAUGUUUCUGUUAUUAUAUACUUCGGUUUAUCCGAAGAGGCAAUUAAUGCCUUAUUGGUGUGUUAUGGAGGAUUUAUAAUAUUUCGGGUGUGUUUGGGUUUGAUAUUCUGGUGUGUUUGGGUGGAAUCCGCGUAUCUGUCAAAGUCCGAGCCUUGUUAAUAGGGUAAAUAAUUGAAAUGAAAUUUUGAAAAUGAGAUUAUUUGUUUUGGCACUAUUGAAAAGUAUAAGAAAAAAAUGUAUGAACUAAAUUAUGAAUUGAGUUGGUAUGAGAAAAAAAUUAAAUUACGAAAAAAAAAUUCCGGAGAAUUUGAACAAGUUCCGUUUCAUUUUUAAAUUUACGUUUUGGCUUCGAGCGUCUAUUAUUAGGACUUAACUAUUAUAUUAGACUAUGAAUAUUAUUUAUUUGUGAAUUAUUUUGUAAGUUGUCUGAUAUGUCUGGUAAUGCCUCGUAACCCUAUUCCGACGACGGUUUGGGGUUAAGGGGGUGUUACAAUUUCUCUCCCCCUAAUGUUAGGAAAACUAUCGAAUCAAAAUUGUAAUCACAAAUCAUGUCAUAAUUGAAUCUCGAAUACAUUCAAAACAUUUAAUAAUAUAAAGAAACUUGUAAUUAAUAUAUAUUCCCAACUUUCUUUGAGGAUUCACUCAUCUUUGUGCAUUGUGGUGGAGCAAUUGGAACAUAUACACAUAUACAAAAAUUCAAAGAUGAGAAAUAUUUAGCUCUUGAUCAAAAACCAAUUGUAAUGGGGAGUUUUAUAACUUAUUGGCUUAAUGCAUACAACACGUAAAUCAACAUAAUCUUAUGUUGAAAUAGGAAGUUUAGUUCUCAUAAGUAAUGGUUUAGACAUUAAUCAGAGGUGUUCAAUCAAUAAUUUCUCUAAACCGUUAUGCGCAAAUUUUUACACAAGUUUUUUAAACUCAAUCAAUAAAAGAUUAAGAUAUAAACUCAUCAGUAUUAGCAAGAUGAAUUGUCUUAAUUGCAUAAUCUGAAAUUAAUUAUUUAAACAAUCAAUCUCGCAAACGACAGGUUACAAAUUAAAAACACAUAUAUGGUUAUUUUGUAGAUGCAUCUACCAAAAUUAUAUAAUAUCAAAAUCAUCCACAUGGUAGAUGAAUGAGCUUAUAUUCAUUUUAGAAAUACAAAACAUUAAAUCUCAAAUUUAGCUAGUGAGUUUCUAAUAAUCAAUUUUCAUUGAGAAUAAGCAACAUAUAAAAUUCUUUUAAAUUAAAGAAUCUUCUGGUUCUUUAAUGGAUGUCCAUAUGAUAUCUCAAUUAAUUUUCACAUCAUAUACGAUCCAAAAUGGUCUAACUGGUCACGCCAAGUAGUAAAUGCAUUUGUAUUAGUAAACUUCUGGUUUACUUUAACAUGUGUUUUAAUUGUACUAAAUUGUAAAUUGAUAAUUUUAUUAUCAUUCCUUUUAAUUUGUAUGCACAUAUAAGUACUAUUGUGACAUUUACUACUGGAAAUGUCUAAAUCAAUGUGAAGUCUAUAAUGUCACCAAGUCAAUAAAUAUAAUUUUUAAAUAAUUAUAUGCAAUAUUCGCUUAAGAGAAUAUGUCAAAAUCUUCAAAUGCCCAAAAAUCUAUUAAUAGCAAACUUUGAGAGUGGAUCUUAUUUUCCAGGUGUACAAUAGGUACAUAACCAAUGACUUCUCAUACAUAAGUUUUCUCUCUUACAAGUUCUCAUCAGUAAUAUUUUACCACGUAAUUUUAAUUGAGAACUUAUUCUAAAUACUGUAGAGUUAUACUCACAGUUAAAAAAAAACCUGCAACUUUAGGUGCAUCAAAUCAUAAUAAGUUUUAGAUAGAAUUAUCAUAUUCUAUCGCCCAUAAGUAGAUCUUUUACAGUCAAAAUAUUUUGCUUUCAACUCUUUAAUAGGGAUGAUGACAAAAGAAUAUAACAAAGAUUAUAAAAUAAAUAUAAAUUAAUAACCCAAUCCCCUUUUUUAUUCAUAUGAGAUAUAAUAUUUUUCUCAUUCACAAUCUCAAUAUGAGAUCCAUUACAAAUAACUUUUAAAAGUAAUGUAUUAACCAUCACAAAUUUUGUGCUUAUUAGAUAGUGAUAUAUAAGCUCUCCUGGAGCUUUCAACUAAUUUUGUACUAUCAAAUAUUGAAAUAAUAUUUGUUUGUUUUAGUACCAAAUAAGAUAAAUAUUUUCUGUCUGUAAUGAUAGAAUUCAUUACUAAAUUUUUAUAUCUUCCUCAAAGAAUAUUAACAGAAACAAAAUAUUUGGGCAUACACCACAUAUGCCAAUAAUCUUUUCAUAUCACAUUGAUAACAAAAGUUAUCUUUACCCUUUGAAAAGUUAUCUUAAGAACUCUCAUUGUUCUCUUAUUUAUGACUAUGUUCCUACUUUUAGUGGCUCAUGAGUAUAUCUUUUAUUUUCUUUAUGUUUACAUUCACUUCGAGGAAUGCAAUAGAUUUACUAGGACGAACUUAUAAACGUCCCAAUAGAUUCUUUAUUUCAUAAUCACCAUCGCAAACAUGCAUGGAUUUUAAAUUAAAAUCUAUCUAUUCAUGUUGUCAUGAUUAGUCUCCAAUUAUAAUAAAUAUGAUAUAAUAAAUAAAUCAUAGUAAAAUAUACUUGGAAACCUUUAACAUCAUCGUCAUCACCUUAACUAUUAUCACAAGCACUAUUACAAAUAGUAAAACAACUUUGUUUUUGUAAUAACAUUUAUAAUCUAAUAGUAAAAAUUAUUAAAUAAAUAAUCAAAAUUUUCAUAUACGAUGCUUGAAAAUUAUCUGAUACACAUUGUAUCAAAUUUCAAUACCACAUAUAUUAUAAAAUCUUAUCUUACUCUAAUAAAAUAUUUAUAAGUUCAAUUUAAAAGAUAUCAUACAAUCAUUCAACAUUAGCAAGUUAAUAAGACUCAAUAGAUCUUAUCAAAUUUCCCUUUAAUCAACAAUGGUAGGUUAAUAACACUUUCCACCAUAAUUAAAAUUUCAAGAAUAUUUAAUAACAAGAAUUUAAUAAUCAAAAUAUCUAAAUAUUAUGCAUAAUAUAACUUAAUUAAAAAAAAUAAAAAAGAAUGAUUUACCAAAAAUAAUAAUAUAAGAAACAUACCAUAUUAAGAGCUAUUGGCAAUCAUCCAUAUUUUGGAAAGACAAAGAUAUGGGUAUCAAAAUGUUGGUACUAGAAAUCUGAUAUUUAAGGCAUCAAAAGUGGGAUUGAGAUUUGGCAUGAGAUAUUUGCAAGAUUUUGGGUACCCAAUUGUAUAGUGACUUAGCAAGUUGGUCCCUGAACCUCAACUAUAAAUAGGCCUAACCAUUUCUCAUUUGAAUCAUAUCCCACAUUUGUUAUUCUCUACCUAAGGCAUUGUUUUCUCUCCCUAUUUGUAAAUUUUCACUUAUAUUUUGGAGUGAAAUAUAUUUGGUAGUGCCCGAGGACUCAGGCAAAAUUUGCUGAACCUCGUUAAAAUUCUGGUGUUCUUUAUUGUUUAAUUUGCAUAUUUUGUGAGUGUGAUUGUAGUGAUUUAUUGUGCUAUUAAAUUACGAUAGAGGGAUAUUCUGGCUAGGAAAGACCUGGUACUUAAGCGAUCCUUGUGAUCCACCUCUCUUUCCUGGGAAUUGAACUUAUUAUGAUUUUUUAGUACAAUAAUUUUACUCUUUUACACGCUUCACACAACAAGAGCAAACAUAUCUAAUCAACAAUUAUGUCUUUUACAUAAAAAAACAUUAACUUAGACAGGCAAAAAUCAAAUACCAUCAGAACGUGAAACUUAUGUCAAAUAAAAAUUAAUAGUAGUCAUAUCUUAAUUGAAAAAGAAAAUAUGGUCGAAAUAUAGAAGUUUCUUACUAAAUCUAUACUUUACCAUGCUUGUACAAUAAAUAAAAAAUUGAGAAUAAGAACCAUGAUCAAUUCUGAGAUUGAAUCUUACUUCUCGAUUUCAUAUAGGUAAUGGUAUCGAAUCUUUCACCAUCAUUAAGAACAAAAAGUAAAAUAAGUUAAUCAAAAUAAUAAUAAUGUACAAUGGAAGAAGAAUGAAAAAUAAUAAUCAGAUAUGAAACAUUAAAUAAAAAAAACUUCCUAUAAAAACUUUGCAACUUCCUGUCAAAGAUUUUGAAAAUCAUGAAUGAUACAUUUGAUCGUUGAUAAAAAGGAACUAUCACUUUGAGUAAGAUCGUGCCGAUAACGUAUUAUAAAAUAAAGAAAGAUGGAAAGAAUAAAGAACAAAGAAAAUAUAAAAAUAAUAGAGAAUGUAUUUUAUUAAUUAAGGGGAUGAUCACAAUGCUUCAUCAGAGUCUCUAUUUAUAGGCAUAAGAAGUAGAGAUCUAAUUCUAAUAACUAUUAGAAUUUAAAGUACAUUAAAAUUUUAUCUUGAUCAUGAUGAACAUCUACUUAAUAAGAUAUUCAUAAUAAUAUUUUUUAAAAAUUAUAAAAUAUUUUUAAAAUUACAAGUAUGAGAAACUUUAAAAAAUAAAAAUUUUAAAAAAAAUUGUUUGUUUGAAAAUUUUAUGAAAAAUUUUAACUUUUUUAAGUUUCGCAUGCUUAUAAUUUUAAAAAUAGCUUUUAUAAUUUUCAAAAAAUAGUUUAUGAUUAUUUUUAAUUUUUUUAAUAAUUUUCUAUGUUUUAAGAUUUUUUUUAAUUUUUUUAGGAUUUUUAAUGAUUUUUAUAAUUUUAUGAUAUUUUGUAAAGAUUUAAUUUUUUUUACUUUAAUUGACCCAUGACAACAUUUCAUUGGUUGAUUUAAUCUUUUUGACAAAAAAUAUAUAUAAAUGGAUAAUGAGGCAUAUAGAAUGAAAGUACAGGGAUAAACUUGAUAAAAAAAUACAAAUACCAAAGUGAUAAUUUAAUUGUACUAUAAAGGCCAAAAGAGGUAUUAAGCCUUCUUCAUUCUUCAAUCCAAAGAGUGGUUUCUUUGGCGAAGCGCCUUUUAUAUUGAAAGGAAAAUUGCAUUCUUACAUUGUUAGGCAAUCCUUCUGAAACAAUUCUAUGAAUGGAUGAACCCCGAAAGUCCACACAAUAAAUUUAAAGAAAUACAUCCGUUUUCUGAAAAUAAUAAAAAAUUCGAUGUUAUAGAUAUCAAACGAUAAUUUAUGUAUCCUACGGCUAAAAACGAAUAAGGUAUUAAUUAUUAGAAAAAUAAUAGUACACUAAUUUAUCUUCGAGAAAAUAUUUGGACUUAAGUCGAUCAGUGCAUUCUCUAGUUGUUUAUACCUUCCUUGCAUCUUUGUUUCGACAGAUGCCUCUUCUUUUACGAAGAGGACAAGCAGCAUCCAAGAUAAUCUUCUCAAGC
rnacentral:lncRNA from 1 species